AAUAAUAAUAAUAAUAGCCAUGACGAUAUACAACGCUCUAGGCCCGUGCCAUUAUUACACAUCUUAGCAGGCGAAGGGGGUACACCGGCCUAAGAGUUUAAUGGCUUUAUAGUGAUUCUACUCAUAUUCAGAUGGCGAUGAAGUUGGCCCGAAUAUUCUCUAGCCCCGUGGAACGUUUAUGUGUUAUCCUGACUGUGUUGAAAAAUUUACCAGGAUGUCUACUUGGACAUUGACAACUCCACCAUCAUAUUAUAAUUAACAUUUAUACAAAAUAUUGUAAACAUGAAAGCUUGAAUAAAUCUAUUUGAUUUAAAAUUCGGAAA